rnacentral:rRNA from 1 species
GGGUUGUGAGGUUAAGCGACUAAGCGUACACGGUGGAUGCCCUGGCAGUCAGAGGCGAUGAAGGACGUGCUAAUCUGCGAUAAGCGUCGGUAAGGUGAUAUGAACCGUUAUAACCGGCGAUUUCCGAAUGGGGAAACCCAGUGUGAUUCGUCACACUAUCAUUAACUGAAUCCAUAGGUUAAUGAGGCGAACCGGGGGAACUGAAACAUCUAAGUACCCCGAGGAAAAGAAAUCAACCGAGAUUCCCCCAGUAGCGGCGAGCGAACGGGGAGGAGCCCAGAGCCUGAAUCAGUGUGUGUGUUAGUGGAAGCGUCUGGAAAGGCGCGCGAUACAGGGUGACAGCCCCGUACACAAAAAUGCACAUAUUGUGAGCUCGAUGAGUAGGGCGGGACACGUGGUAUCCUGUCUGAAUAUGGGGGGACCAUCCUCCAAGGCUAAAUACUCCUGACUGACCGAUAGUGAACCAGUACCGUGAGGGAAAGGCGAAAAGAACCCCGGCGAGGGGAGUGAAAAAGAACCUGAAACCGUGUACGUACAAGCAGUGGGAGCCUCUUUUAUGGGGUGACUGCGUACCUUUUGUAUAAUGGGUCAGCGACUUAUAUUCUGUAGCAAGGUUAACCGAAUAGGGGAGCCGAAGGGAAACCGAGUCUUAACUGGGCGUUAAGUUGCAGGGUAUAGACCCGAAACCCGGUGAUCUAGCCAUGGGCAGGUUGAAGGUUGGGUAACACUAACUGGAGGACCGAACCGACUAAUGUUGAAAAAUUAGCGGAUGACUUGUGGCUGGGGGUGAAAGGCCAAUCAAACCGGGAGAUAGCUGGUUCUCCCCGAAAGCUAUUUAGGUAGCGCCUCGUGAAUUCAUCUCCGGGGGUAGAGCACUGUUUCGGCAAGGGGGUCAUCCCGACUUACCAACCCGAUGCAAACUGCGAAUACCGGAGAAUGUUAUCACGGGAGACACACGGCGGGUGCUAACGUCCGUCGUGAAGAGGGAAACAACCCAGACCGCCAGCUAAGGUCCCAAAGUCAUGGUUAAGUGGGAAACGAUGUGGGAAGGCCCAGACAGCCAGGAUGUUGGCUUAGAAGCAGCCAUCAUUUAAAGAAAGCGUAAUAGCUCACUGGUCGAGUCGGCCUGCGCGGAAGAUGUAACGGGGCUAAACCAUGCACCGAAGCUGCGGCAGCGACACUAUGUGUUGUUGGGUAGGGGAGCGUUCUGUAAGCCUGUGAAGGUGUACUGUGAGGUAUGCUGGAGGUAUCAGAAGUGCGAAUGCUGACAUAAGUAACGAUAAAGCGGGUGAAAAGCCCGCUCGCCGGAAGACCAAGGGUUCCUGUCCAACGUUAAUCGGGGCAGGGUGAGUCGACCCCUAAGGCGAGGCCGAAAGGCGUAGUCGAUGGGAAACAGGUUAAUAUUCCUGUACUUGGUGUUACUGCGAAGGGGGGACGGAGAAGGCUAUGUUGGCCGGGCGACGGUUGUCCCGGUUUAAGCGUGUAGGCUGGUUUUCCAGGCAAAUCCGGAAAAUCAAGGCUGAGGCGUGAUGACGAGGCACUACGGUGCUGAAGCAACAAAUGCCCUGCUUCCAGGAAAAGCCUCUAAGCAUCAGGUAACAUCAAAUCGUACCCCAAACCGACACAGGUGGUCAGGUAGAGAAUACCAAGGCGCUUGAGAGAACUCGGGUGAAGGAACUAGGCAAAAUGGUGCCGUAACUUCGGGAGAAGGCACGCUGAUAUGUAGGUGAAGUCCCUCGCGGAUGGAGCUGAAAUCAGUCGAAGAUACCAGCUGGCUGCAACUGUUUAUUAAAAACACAGCACUGUGCAAACACGAAAGUGGACGUAUACGGUGUGACGCCUGCCCGGUGCCGGAAGGUUAAUUGAUGGGGUCAGCGCAAGCGAAGCUCUUGAUCGAAGCCCCGGUAAACGGCGGCCGUAACUAUAACGGUCCUAAGGUAGCGAAAUUCCUUGUCGGGUAAGUUCCGACCUGCACGAAUGGCGUAAUGAUGGCCAGGCUGUCUCCACCCGAGACUCAGUGAAAUUGAACUCGCUGUGAAGAUGCAGUGUACCCGCGGCAAGACGGAAAGACCCCGUGAACCUUUACUAUAGCUUGACACUGAACAUUGAGCCUUGAUGUGUAGGAUAGGUGGGAGGCUUAGAAGUGUGGACGCCAGUCUGCAUGGAGCCGACCUUGAAAUACCACCCUUUAAUGUUUGAUGUUCUAACGUUGACCCGUAAUCCGGGUUGCGGACAGUGUCUGGUGGGUAGUUUGACUGGGGCGGUCUCCUCCUAAAGAGUAACGGAGGAGCACGAAGGUUGGCUAAUCCUGGUCGGACAUCAGGAGGUUAGUGCAAUGGCAUAAGCCAGCUUGACUGCGAGCGUGACGGCGCGAGCAGGUGCGAAAGCAGGUCAUAGUGAUCCGGUGGUUCUGAAUGGAAGGGCCAUCGCUCAACGGAUAAAAGGUACUCCGGGGAUAACAGGCUGAUACCGCCCAAGAGUUCAUAUCGACGGCGGUGUUUGGCACCUCGAUGUCGGCUCAUCACAUCCUGGGGCUGAAGUAGGUCCCAAGGGUAUGGCUGUUCGCCAUUUAAAGUGGUACGCGAGCUGGGUUUAGAACGUCGUGAGACAGUUCGGUCCCUAUCUGCCGUGGGCGCUGGAGAACUGAGGGGGGCUGCUCCUAGUACGAGAGGACCGGAGUGGACGCAUCACUGGUGUUCGGGUUGUCAUGCCAAUGGCACUGCCCGGUAGCUAAAUGCGGAAGAGAUAAGUGCUGAAAGCAUCUAAGCACGAAACUUGCCCCGAGAUGAGUUCUCCCUGACCCUUUAAGGGUCCUGAAGGAACGUUGAAGACGACGACGUUGAUAGGCCGGGUGUGUAAGCGCAGCGAUGCGUUGAGCUAACCGGUACUAAUGAACCGUGAGGCUUAACCUUACAACGCCGAAGCUGUU